rnacentral:rRNA from 1 species
UACGUAGGGGGCAAGCGUUGUCCGGAUUUAUUGGGCGUAAAGAGCUCGUAGGUGGUUUGGUAAGUCGGAUGUGAAAUCUCCAGGCUCAACCUGGAGGGGUCAUUCGAUACUGCCAUGACUAGAGGUCGGUAGGGGAGUGUGGAAUUCCUGGUGGAGCGGUGAAAUGCGCAGAUAUCAGGAGGAACACCUGUGGUGUAGACAGCUUACUGGACCAUGACUGACGCUGAGACACGAAAGCGUGGGUAGCAAACAGG